CUACUUAAUUUUUAAGUAUGCAUACUUGUUUUUAAAGUAUGCAUUUUUAGUAUGGUCACCUUUUUCAUAUCA